rnacentral:rRNA from 1 species
CGCGUAGGCGGUCUCUUAAGUCAGAUGUGAAAGCCCGGGGCUUAACCUCGGAAGUGCAUUUGAAACUAAGGGACUUGAGUAUGGGAGAGGGAAGUGGCAUUCCUGGUGUAGCGGUGAAAUGCGUAGAUAUCAGGAGGAACACCGGUGGCGAAGGCGACUUCCUGGACCAAUACUGACGCUGAGGCGCGAAGGCGUGGGGAGCAAACAGGAUUAGAUACCCUGGUAGUCC